rnacentral:rRNA from 1 species
UAGAGGAAGUAAAAGUCGUAACAAGGUUUCCGUAGGUGAACCUGCGGAAGGAUCAUUAUUGAAAAAGACUUUAUGAAGCCCCGUUUUUUCGUAAAAUGGGUUCAAUACCCACAACCGUGUAUACCUUACCUUUGUUGCUUUGGCAGGCCGCCUUCGGGCGUUGGCUCCGGCUGACUGCGCCUGCCAGAGGACCCAAACUCUGUGUUUAGUGAUGUCUGAGUAAUAUAUAAUAUUUAAAACUUUCAACAACGGAUCUCUUGGUUCUGGCAUCGAUGAAGAACGCAGCGAAAUGCGAUAAGUAAUGUGAAUUGCAGAAUUCAGUGAAUCAUCGAAUCUUUGAACGCACAUUGCGCCCCUUGGUAUUCCGAGGGGCAUGCCUGUUCGAGCGUCAUUAUAAACCACUCAAGCCUAGCUUGGUAUUGGGGUUCGCGUGUUCGCGGCCCUUAAAAUCAGUGGCAGGUGCCGUCUGGCUCUAAGCGUAGUAAAUCUCUCGCUAUGGAGUUCCGGUGGUUACUUGCCAAAAUCGCC